GCUGGGGCCUCGGGCGGGGUGCACCGCUGUCCUUUCGCCGCCGUCCGGGCGGCACUGCACGUGCAGCGCGCGGUCCCCCACCCAGCGCAGCCCGCAACACCCCUGGUCUGCCGCAGGAGACCCUGCCGAUGCCACUCAGGGUCAAGACUCUGGCGCGGUGGAAACUGCAGAGCAAAAGGAAACACAGACAAAAACAGUGAGAAGGAGAGAGAGCAUGUGGGGCUUUGCCAGAGAGGAACUUGGAUGGCAAUCACCUAAGAACUCCAAACUCAGUGCCAGGGCAGACUGGUGUCUAUUUUGCAAUGUCUUCCAGUAGUUGAUAACUUUCUACUUUUAAAAUAAUUGGAAGAAUGUAAGCUCUCAACUAGUCCACUAGUCCCGAAACAAUAGAUACCAGCUGGCAGAGAUAAUAGCUGUCUGGAAGAGAGAGAUACAUACCACAUCAAAAAACAACAAAAAAAGGAUGGCUCAAGUACUCAAAAGGCAGCACUAAAAUAAGGCUAUGUCUCUUCCUGAGAAUACUCUGGACUUCAUUCUCUGAUUAAAGAUCACAACUGCUUCUUCGUUGAGGAAAUCAUGUAUUUCAAAGCCACCAAUGAACAAGGUAAUGGGAUGUAUUGGUCCAGCACUGAUAACAGGUUAUCCUACAAUCAAGUAUACUCUUUCCAGAAAGCUGAGUUAGGUAUGCAACUGCCUUUCUAAGCCAUGACUACAUUGCUAAAUGAAUCAUUGAUUUGGAAAAUCUGAAGUGACCUUCAGCUUGUUCUCCAGCUCUUCCUCAACAGAAAAGAGAGGCAAAAUCAGCAAAAUAUUGGAAAGAGAUUUUAACCUGAAUGGAAAAGACAAUAUGAGGGUGAUGAAAGACUCUAGAUGGUCCGUCUUGGAGAGAAGGUUUUGCCGUCUUGCCCCAGUUGGUCUCGAACUCCCGGGCUCAAGCAAUCCACCUGCCUUGGCCUCCCAAAGUGCUGGGAUUACAGACACCAGUAAUGAGGUGUCUCCUGGCACACAAUCACAAUGCACUGACAAACCAUCUUGGUGUGUGAAAAAGACUCAGAAAAAUCCAAGCAAUGUGACACUACUAGCAAGCAUAGUUCCACUUCACCAGAGACUUCAGGUCAUAGUUGGGCCUAAGGCAGAGUCGCUUGGCUGGAGAAGUCAUUAUUUAUAGGACUAUAGACCAAGUUUCAUGUCUGAGAGGCUCUUACGUUAUUACAUAGAAACAAAAUUUUGUUAUCUAUAAGAAUGAUUUGCGUCUUUCUCCUUACGUUAGUAAUCCUAAGAAAAUAUUGAAAAUGAAUCAUUCUUUAAAACAAUUAAACAAUUUACUGAUUAUUUUCACCACUAUAUGAUGCACAUGUGCCUACCAAGAAAUCAGAUAUUUUCUUGUGUGUAGCUUCAUUCAAUAGAGUAAAAUAGAAAACUUUUAUUAUUAAUAAAAAUGUGAAAUUCCAUGUCAUAUACUAUGAUGUAUAAUCUUCUAUGCUUCAUUGUGUCUAUCCUUUAGCAUCACCAUUGACUGACUUCAAGAGUACACUUUCCCCUUACAUAGCUGUGCUAGUUGCUACAGGUAAUAUUUAAAAGCAUAAAAUACAGUCUCUGACUCUGUGCUUUAACUUAAUCCAGUUGGAGAAACAGAAUAUGUGUAAAAAGAUGAAAAAUUAUGGAAUUUAAUAAAAUCUAAUUCCAAAUGGAAAAUAUAGGCAAGAAAUAUGAUAAGACAUCAAUACCUGAGAACAAGAUUACCAUUGGAGAGGGUAGACCAGGUGCAGUUUUUCUAUGACUAGUAGACUCCGAAAGAAGGGAAUUCUAAACAAGAAGGUAUGUGGAAGAAGCAGUAUAUUUUAAACCCUCAACUCUUGUUAGAAAAAACAAACAUCCUCUGAGGACUUCCUCAUAGGUAGCAAUAUGAUAAGCAAUAAUGCUCUGCAUCAGGAAUGAAAUUAGGUAUUAAAGGAGGGAAGAUCUAACAAGUAGAAGUUAUAAUUACAGACCUUGAAACUCAUGUUCUAGAUCAGCGGUCUCCACCCUUUUUGGCACUAGGGACCAGUUUUGUGGAAGACAGUUUUUCCACGGACCAGGGUAGGAGAUGCUUUUGGGAUGAUUCAGGCACAUUACAUUUAUUGUGCACUUUAUUUCUAUUAUUAUUACAUUGUAAUAUAUAAUGAAAUAAUUAUACAACUCACUAUAAAAUAGAAUCACUGGGAGCCCUGAGCUUGUUUUCCUGCAACUAGAUGGUCCCAUAUGGGGAUGAUGGGAGACAGUGACAGAUCAUCAAGCAUUAGAUGCUCAUAAGAAGCAAGGAACUGAGAUCCUUGCAACCUAGAUCCAUUGCAUGUGUGGUUCACAAUAGGUUUUGCACUCCUGUGGGAAUCUAAUGCCACUGCUGAUCUGACAAGAGGCGGAGCUUAGGUGGUAAUGUGUCUGGAAAUACAGAUGACGCUUUGCUCACUCACCUGCUGCUUACCUCCUGCUGCGUAGCCUGGUUAUAAACAGGCCAUGAACUGGUACUGGUCUGUGGCCUAGGGGUUGGGGGCUCCUGUUCUAGAUUUUUUAGAGAAGACUACCAUGUAAAAUGAUAGUGAAUAAUUAUUAAUAUUAAUAAUAUAAUAGGUCUAAUUGCUAAAUCAUAUAUCAUAAAAUCUAGCCUUUAUGAUAAUUUACCUUUUAAACAGUCAAUAAAAACUGGAACAAUCUAGUAGGGUAUCACAGCGGUGAUAGGUCUUAACUUGCAUAAUAUUUGAAUUUAUAGAGAGAAUAAAUACCACAUUGAAGUAAAGCACAAAAUAAGCCAUGAAGUCAGUACUCGGUAUUGCAUGUUCGUGAGACAGUGAAGAAUUUAAUUCAAUUACAGACAUGCCAUAGGGAAUAAUGAUUUACCAAACUUUAUCGAGUUAAGUGAUAAAAAGUGUUAUGUUAGGUAGAUUAAUCAAGGGUAGUGGUUCCAUUCUUUGGUUUUUAGAUGCUAGGAAGGCUGUGGAAAUAAAGUUGCAUGUAGCUCCACAUACACACUGAAACAUGUAUCUACCAAGCAAUAAACAUACUUUCAACAUGUUUCCUUUAAAUAUGUAUAAAUAGGCCAGGCGUGGUGGCUCACACCUGUAAUCCCAAUAAUUUGGGAGGAUGAGGCUGGUGAAUCACUUGAAUUGAGGAGUUUAAGAGCAGUCUGGGCAACAUGGUGAAAUCCUGUUUCUACAAAAAAAUACCCCCCAAAAUGCUUAUAAAUAUGACUACUACAAUAAAAAUAAAUUUAAUGAAUAUAAUUUAUUGUAAUAGGCCAUUCUAUAUUUUUUCAGUCAACAGAUGUGAUUAUUAUCUUACACUGGGAGAUGCCUACCUGUCUCGUCUCCUCUCCUUUCCUCUCCUCUCCUCUCCUCUCCUUUCCCUUUUCCCUUCUUUUCUUCCCUCCUCUCCCCUCUCCUUCCCCUUCUCCUUCCCUUCCCUUCCCCUUCCCUACUCCUUCCCUUCUUUGCCUAAGCUGGAGUGCAGUGGCAUGAUCUCAGCUCACUGCAACAUCCACCUCCCUGGUCCAAGCAAUUCUCCCACCUCAGCCUCCCUAGUAGCUGGGAUUACAGGCGCACCACCACAUCUGGCUAAUUUUUGUAUUUUUUAGUAGAGACAGGGUUUCACCAUGUUGGCCAGGCUGGUCCCGAACUCCUGAUCUCAGGUGAUCUACCCUCUUUGGCCUCCCAAAGUGCUAGGAUUACAGGCGUGAGCCACCACGCCCCACUUUAAUUUUGUAUUUUUAGUAGAGACGGGGUUUCACCAUGUUGGCAAGGCUGAUCUCUAACUCCUGACCUUGUGAUCUGCCCAUCUAUGCCUCCCAAAGUGUUGAGAUCACAGGCGCGAGCCACCGCGCCCAGCCUCCUCUCCUCUCCUCUCCUUUCCUUUUCGCUUUUCCCUUUCCUUCUUCCUUCCCCUCUCCUCCCUCCCCUUCCCCUUUCCAUCCCCCUCCUGUUCCCUUCUUUCCUUUGGCCUUGUGAAGUAUCUAUAUAUUAUUUUCAUUAAAGUGCUGUCAGGGCUGGGCGAGAUGGAUCAUGCCUAUAAUCCCAGCACUUUGUUAGGCAGAAUCAGGCAGCUCACCUGAGGUCAAAAGUUCGAGACCAGCCUGGCCAACAUUGCAAAACCCCGUCUCUACUAAAGAAUACAAAAAUUAGUGGAGUGUGGUGGCAUGUGACUGUAAUCUCAGCUACUCAGGAGGCUGAGGUAGGAGAAUUGCUUGAACCCAGGAGGCGAAGUCUGCAGUGAGCCGAGAACUCGCCACUGUACUCCAGCCUGGGAGACAGAGUGAGACUCCAUCUCAAAAACAAAACAAAACAAAACAAAACAAAACAAAACAAAACAAACAAAAAAAUUGCUGCUAGCCAGGCAUAGUGACAUGCACCUGUAGUUGUAGCUAUUUGGAGGCUGAGGUCAGAGGAAAGCUUGAGGCCAGAAGUUUGAGACCAAUCUGGGCAACAAAGCAAGAUCCCAUCUCUAAAAUACAAAAACAAACAAACAAACAACCAUGCUGCCAACUUACAUUGACAUAUGCUUUUUAAUUAUCAAAUAUAAAAUGUACAGACUAAAUGCUCAAUAUAUUUUCAUUUGUGUUGUUUGUUAUUGGUUUACUGAGUUAUGCUAA